UUCAUGGAUAGUACUCAGAAGAACAUGAAACUGUUUUCGUCUCAAUUCCAGCUAGAAUGACAAAAAACACCACAAAGAGCAGUAACAGAGCAGUGCUUCAGGAGCAACCUGAGUGUCCCAGACAAGAAUAAAGGAGUGGCCAGAGUGGAUCAGACCAGAGGUCCAUCCCAUCUCUGAAAGUAGUUAAAACCAGAUGCUUCAGUGGAUGGCUACGGAAGCUUGCAGCUGAUGCACAGUAAUAUUCCCUCAUGUGGGCGGCAGGGUGAAACCUGACAGAAAUUGACUUAAGCCCAAAAACACAAUAUUUAGUGCCCGUGGCAAAAGUAUAUUGUCAUGGGCAGCAUUUUAUAUCCUUGACACAUUUAAAUACCCAUUUCCUUCCUGAAUCCUGUUAAGUUCUUGGCCCUGACAACCUUCUCUAGCAAAUGAGUUCCAUAGCUUAACUAGAUACAUGAAGUUCAGUUUACUUACUUACGUUCCUAAUUUGCUUAACUGCUUAAUCAUAUGGUGACAGACUCAUUUUUCUGCCCAGUGUUUACACUGCAACAAAAAUUGUUAACUGUGUAUAAGUUAAGUGUGCAGCACCAUUCAGCCCCAUUUUCUGAUCUGUAAAAUGGCUGUGCUCUCCAACCUUGGAACAACUAGAGGCCUUGGAAAAUAACUGCAUCUAGUCCAUUUUAGAGCUGCUGUUAAAAGCCUUGCAAAUGACAGCACCAGUCAGUUUGGGGGCUACUAACAGCUCAGCACUGACUGCAGUUGAGACGGGUUAUUUUCUACCUAACCAGCAUUGUUUGCAUUAGGUUUGGGAAAAUCCAUAGUCUUUAAAUUUUUUGUUACUUUCUAAUUCUCUGGGACAGUAGCUAUUAAUAACAGAUUACCGGUUUUGUCAGCUCAAGUCUGAAAUAGCUAAGAUACUGCUUCUAAAUUCUUUGAUGUUUAGUAUGUGGGCCUGGUGAUUUACUGCAUUUUAAACUAACCACUUGCUCCAGCACUGCAUCUGUCAUCUCAAUCCGAAAAAUUCUCGUCUUUGUAAAUAGAAAAGAACAAAUCUAAGAUGAACAUCACCCUCAACAUUCUUGCUCGUGAAGACAGGCACAAAUAUAAUUUAGCUUUUCAGCAAUGACUGUGUCUUUCUGAAUUGCUUCCCUUAAUCUUUGGUGAGCCAGCAGGAACACUGAUUUCUCCACACACCUGGCUUCUUUGAAAAGUUUCUUUUACAUCUUUAGCUAUUUAUUCUUCUAUCUCUUCUCAUGUCUCUCUUUCUUAAUGCCUAAUGUAAUUCCUUUUAAGGCAGCCUGGGGCCAGUCAGUCCUGUUCAGCUGAAGACCUCUCUUCUAAGGGCCUCAGGUGGGAAUAAGCAGAAGAGAGGUUGGCCUGGAACAGGCAGGUUAAAGCACAGAAUGAAAGGCCUUUGGGCCCCUACAAGUUGCCCUAGCAGGGAGAAAGCUUUGUUUUGAGCGACUUUGCAAGUGUUUGGUGGCAGAAACAGUGUUUGUAGGCCUGGAAGAGAUCUAGGCCUGGUGCUUAACCGUUCCUGGACUGUGGAAAGAGGGCAGCAGCCCACACUCCUGCUCACUGGUUUUACCAGGGAAAGAUCUCUGCUUAGCCUGACCAGGUCCUAAAAUGUUGUUAUUACGCUUUGCCGGCUGGCUUCCUUUCUCCUCAGCACUAUGCGUGUCUUGCAAGAGUCUCUUAUUGUCCUUAGUAAUGUCCAAGCUACAUCUAGAGAUUUUAUUUCUUACACAAGGGUCUUUUUGAACAACCUUUUUU